CGCCGCUGUCCGGGGCGGGAACUUCCACUCCCCCCUCCCAGGUGGAUCCGAAAUUCUCUACCCACUUCUCCACGCCCUCACGCGGCGGGCCAUAAUCUCAAGUCCAACGGCUGAGUGGAAAGUGAGCAUCCUCAUCACAAUUUUGCCUUUCAUAGUAGUGCUUCUGAAGUGCCAUCGUGUGACUUUGCCUCUCAAGACGUAGAGUCCUCUCCCUUGAAUCUGGGCUGGGCAGUGGAAUGCAGCCAAAGUGGUGUAUGACCUCCAAGACUGGAUGAGAAGUUUACAGCCUAACCUGCUCUUGCCCCUGAUGUCUCCUUUGAGAAUCCAGCUGCUUGCUCCGAGAAUCCCAAGCUAGGAGGAGAGGCUACACUGAAGCGUAAACACCCAGACAGAAUGUGUUCCAGAGUUUUGGCUAGGCUGUUUCUAUCAAUAAUGGCCUUUUGGGUCUGUCCUAAGACCUUCUACCACAAAGGUUCUACUUGACGUGGAAAGAGCAUAAGCAUUGCGUCUUCAAGAGGGAGUUUUCUUAUUCAAGUCUGUAA